GCGGCCCCUCCGCUCCCGCCUUCCCCCUCACGGAACGCGGCGCCGGCGGCUCCGAGCCGUGAAGGGGGGAGCGGGGCGCCCUGAGUGAAAGCGCCUAAAACACAGCGCGCAGACCAUGGGCUCGGCUCUGCCUCUCCCCCACCUCAGCGUUUUAACCCGUACAGCAUCUUUAAUUUAAACAGGAAUUAAUCUCCGGCCCAAAUAGGCCGGGAUUUGGCUCACCUGCGGCGCCCGUCGCCUGGACCCGGAGGAGGCAGCAAACCGAGAAAGGAAUGUGUCAGGGACUGUGAGAACCUUGCCCAUUCCUUGUGUUUCUGCGUGAAAUGCAUUUCUAGCCACACCCGUAAAGAACUUGUCUCUCCCGACAAUACAGAGUGGGCAGGUAGAGUUUCUCAGCCAGCACAUACUGCCAAUAUUUAUGGGACAGUUUGUGGUCCCAAAAGCACAGAAAUGCCGGGAAACAAAAAGGAAAGAAAAUGUACCCAAGGAGGAGAUCCAGCUGCUUCCAAGUCAUUUCUAUAAAUAAAAAUCUGAUGCAAACUCAUUAUCAUUUCCCUUUCCAGCACCGAUUUGCUUCCUUAAGAUUUCAGAGUGUGCAUCUGAGGACUUCGGCUGCGCGACGUAAAGUUUCCCUCGGCAGCUGCUAAAAUUAUUCACAAGGCACUGCAGCAUGGCAGCAGCUAUCAGCUUUGGAAUGCUUUGGAAUGUGCCCUUCUACUAUUACAAAUACUGGCUGCAUGCGAUUGGGUCCGAACUGCUCAUCCAUCGAUUGGGUCAGAUGGAUGCUGUUUUGCCAGAAAAUACUUGAAACACAAAGAUGACUUCAAAUAUUUGGAGGAGUCAUGUUGCCACUCAAAAUACAGAAGCAUCAAGUAACUGUCCUGG